UUCCUGAAGGCUUGCAUGCUUCAGGCCUCCCCAGGAAGACAGAGCACAGGACUGACCCAGACCCAGUGCCUUCGUGUAAGAGCUCUAGUCCAACACAGGAAACAGACACCCAACCAACCAUGAGGAAAAGCUGUGGGAGCUGGGGGUCGAGGGGUGGUCUCCAGAUGCUCCCCAGCUCCAGGCUGUGAAGGAUCAACAGGAGGACAUCGGGGCCUUCUUGGAUCAUUCAACCAGCAGAUGAAGAAAAAGAGGGCGAAUGGAGAAUUAUAUGUCAGAGAAUUUUAUGGAUCUUACUGGAACAGAAAUAUCAGCAGUUUGUGGCAUUAAGCCCACAAAUUUCAGGAAGUUGGAUUCCAAACUCUAGGACAUGAGGUCCAAGUCUGCUGGAGUUUGCUGUCGGUCCACUCCAGACCCUGUUUGCCUGGAUAUCACCAGCAGAAGCUACAGAACAGCCAAGAUUGCUGCCCUUUCCUUCCUCUGGAAGCUUUGUCUCACAUGGGCACCCACCAGAUGCCAGCCAGAGCUCUCCCAUAUGAGGUGUCUGUCAACCCCUUCUGGGAGGUGUCUCCCCAUCAGGAGGCACAGGGGUCAGGUACCCACUUGAGGAGGCAAUCUGUCCCUUAGCAGAGCUCAAGUGCUGUGCUUGGAGAUCCACUUCUCUCCUCAGAGCCAGCAGUCAGGAAUGUUUAAGUCUGCUGAAGCUGUGCCCACAGCCAACCUUCCCCCAGGUGCUCUGUUCCAGGGAGAUGAGAGUUUUAUCUAUAAGCCCCUGACAGGGGCUGCUGCCUUUCUUUCAGAGAUGUCCUGCCCAGAGAAGAAGAAUCUAGAGAAGCAGUCUGGCUACAGCGGCUUUGUGGAGCUGCAGUGGGCUCUGCCCAGUUUGAAAUUUCAGGCCGCUUUCUUUAUACUGUGAGGGGAAAACCGUCUACUCAAGCCUCAGUAAUGGUGGAUGCCCUUCUCUGCACCAAGCUCGAGCAUCCCAGGAUGACUUCCGACUGCUGUGCUGGCAGCGAGAAUUUCAAGCCAGUGGAUCUUAGCUUGCUGGGCUCCAUGGAGAUGGGAUCCACUGAGCUAGACCACUUGGCUCCCUGGCAUCAGCCCCAUUUCCAGGCAAGUGAAUGGUUCUCUCUCCCUGGCAUUCCAGGUGCCACUGGGUUAUGAACAAAAACUCCUGCAGCUAGCUUGGUGUCUGCCCAAACAGCCGCCCAGUUUUGUGCUUGAAACCCAGGGCCCUGGUGGCGUAGGCACCUGAGGGAAUCUCCUGGUCUAUGGGUUGUGAAGACCAUGGUAAAAAGGUAGUAUCUCGGCUGGAAAGCACCGCUUCUCAUGGCACAGUCCCUCAUGGCUUCCCUUGGCUAGGGGAGGGAGUUCCCCAACCCCUUGCACUUCCCGGGUGAGGUGAUGCCCCACCCUGCUUCAGCUUGCCCUCUGUGCACCCUCUGUCUAACCAGUCUCAAUGACAUGAGCUGGGUACCUCAGUUAGAAAUGCAGAAAUCACCUACCUUCUGCAAUGAUUUUGAUGGGAGGUGCAGACGAGCUGUUCCUAUUCAGUCAUCUUGCCAGCCACACAUGCCCAUCUUCAUUCCAUUAUUUCAUUUACUCUAAACAUACUUUCAGGCAGUUCUUAAAAUUUACUCCAUUUUAACUAUAAUGAAUCCAUGUAUGAAUGCAUUUGUCUUUUUCUGGCUCUUUCAUAGUGCUUCUUGAAUUGGAUGAUUCUUGUCUUUUUUAAAUUCUGGAAAAUUCUCACACAUUCUAUGUUUAGUUUGACCUCCUUAUUCUUCACAGUCUGUUAUUAUGGAAGUACUAUGCUUAACACGUUGCGUCUCUCUGUUUUCUUCGAUGUUACCAACAAGAUGUCUUAAACUAUCACCACCUGCCCCUACAAAUGUACACAGGUUAGGAUGUUUCAUUUAUCGUUUUCUGCUUGUGAUACAACUUGGCUGUAACAGAAGUUCUUUCAGUGUUGAGGCUCAGAAACUCUCAAAGUUGAUAUUUAGUCCCUGACUAUAAUAAGAUGUGGGAAGAGGGGACAUUUCAAACUCUCCAUGUUGGUCCCUUGCCCCACUCAUUGAGGAAAGUGAAGUCUAUUUUGCAAAAUUAAGGCUGAGUCAGUGAAAGAGAUCUAACAUAACUGCCUCCGUCUUGCUUCUAAAACCCAAACUGUCCUUGUUCAUUCCUGGGCAUAGGCUGAGCUAACUUUGGGAGAAACUUAUUUAUAGUUUAUAGUUUAAAACUAAGAUGAUGAGGUGGGGGGCAGCCCCCGCCCGGCCAGCCCCCCCGUCCGGGAGGUGGGGGGCAGCCCCCGACAGGCCAGCCGCUCCGUCCGGGAGGUGGGGGGCAGCCCCCACCCGGCCAGCCACCCCCUGCGGGAGGUGGGGGGCAGCCCCCGCCCGGCCGCUGCCCUGUCCCGGAGGUGGGGGGCGCCUCUGCCUGGCUGCCCCAUCUGGGAAGUGGGGAGCCCCUCUGCCCGGCCGCCACCCAAUCUGGGAGGUGUACCCAGCAGCUCAUUGAGAAUGGGCCAUGAUGACGAUGGCAGUUUUGUCGAGUAGAAAGGGGGGAAAUGUGGGGAGAAGACAGAGAGAUCGGAUUCUUGUUGUGUCUGUGUGGAAAGAGGUGGAAAUGGGAGACUCCAUUUUGUUCUGUACUAAGAAAAAUUCUUCUGCCUUGGGAUGCUGUUAAUCUAUAACCUUACCCCCAACCCCGUGCCCUCUGAAACAUGUGCUGUGUCCACUAAGGGUUAAAUGGAUUAAGGGCGGUACAAGAUGUGCUUUGUUAAACAGAUGCUUGAAGGCAGCAUACUCCUUAAGAGUCGUCACUACUCCCUAAUCUCAAGUACCCAGGGACGCAAACACUGCGGAAGGCGGCAGGGCCCUCUGCCUAGGAAAACCAGAGACCUUUGUUCACAUGUUUAUCUGCUGACCUUCCCUCCACUAUUGUCCUAUGACCCUGCCAAAUCCCUCUCUCCGAGAAACACCCAAGAAUGAUCAAUAAAUACUAAAAAAAUUAAAAAACAAAAACAAAAAAAACUAAGAUGAUAACAGCCCUUUCCCAAAGCAGGCCUCCUUCUUGCCUGGGGACUAGAUUGCCUCUGUAGGACUAACAUUAGCUACAAGAUUAGAAAUUAUGGCUAAAGGGCAUUGCAGCUUGAGACUACAAGAUUCUUACCCUCCCUAAACUGCUCCUAAGAUCAGUGCUUGAGAUAUUUUGCAGACUCUGCAAAUUUUAGUGCCUUAAUCAAUUAAACUCCAAUUAUAUAUUUAAAAUAUUGAUUAUUUUGAAUGUGUUUUAAAUGCUUAUGUAACAGCAAAAUAUCACAUAUAGAGUGAUUACAAGCUAGUUGUCAUAUUUACCUUUAUGUCUAUUCUAAAAUAAUAAUAAUAAUGCAAGGUAAAAUCAUUUCAUUGUUAUUCUAUACUAGUUUUUAUAUCUAACUAGAUAUAUAAUUUGAUAUAUUCUUAAGGUUGUAUAAUACAUAUUUUAUCACAUUUUCCAGUUUACAACAAUCUUAGAGAAAAUAAAGAGAAAGAAAAAAAUUUGAAAGGCAUAAUGGAAAAUAUCAGAAUAUUUUAUGUUAAAAUCAACAAUACAGCACACAUAACUUGAUGGAACCAUUUGAGAUCCUGAAAAUAAAAAUACCUUUAAAGUACUUCAAAAAAGAAAAUAUGCUUAUAAACUUUAAAUAGAAAAACUAUAUUAUAAAAAACAGCAGAGAAUAUUUCUGCAAGAUAUUAAAUUAAUUAUAUAAAUACUACAUUUUUAAAAGAGUUCUGUAAUUGGCCCAUGAGAAGAGAGUUCAAUGGGGCAGAGUUUGGAAAUGCAAAUCCUUAGGGGAAUUUGGUUUAUGACAAAAAUAACAUCUCGGAUAUCUGAAGAAAGAUGGAUUACUUAAUAAAUAAAAAAACAACUAGGUAUUUUUUGAAAAAAUAAUGUCAGAUUUUAAUCUCAAUUAUUAUAUAAGAAAUCAUUUUGCAUGGGUUAGUUUCAAAAUUUAAAAUAAAUGAAAGAGUCAUUGUUAUAAUCUUGAAAUGUGGUCUGGAAAACUCUUACUAAGAAAACGUAGGACUUGGACACUGUGAAAAGAAGAAACUGUUGAAUUGUACAACAUAAAAAUAAGUCACUAAAUUGAAUUUCAAACUGGUCAAGAAUGUAUAGAAAAGGUAUAACAGAUCAAACACUAAUUCAUUAUAUUCAAAUUUUGGUUCAUUAAAAUUAAAAAUGUCUGCUCUGCAAAAGCUUUUGUUAAGAGAAAAAAAAGACAAGCCACAGACUAAAAAAAAAUUGCAAAAGAUAGCUGAUGAAGGAUUCUAUGCAGAAUAUACAAAUUAACAGUGUAAAAACAAACCGCACAAUUAAAAAUAGACAAAAUAUCUGAACAGAUACUUUAUUAAAGAAGAUAGAUGACAAAUAAAGAUGUUAAAAUGCUCAAAAUCAUAUAUCAUUUAGGAAUUGCAAAUUCAAACAAUGAGAUACUACCCUAAACCUAUUAUAAGUAUGGCUGAAAUCAAAAAUACAAACAAGGACGUGAAGAACAGGAACUCUCAUUCAUUGCUGGUGGGAGUGCAAAAUGGUAUAGGAACUUUGGAAGACAGUUUGACAUUCUUGCAAAGCUGAAUAUAAGCUUACUAUAUAAUCUAGAAAUUGUGCUUCUAAGUAUAACCCAAAUUAGUUGAAAACUUGAUACAAAUGCUUAAAGAGUCUUUUCUAAUACUUGUUAAAAUUGGAAGCAGUCAAGAUGUGCUUCAGUAAGUGAAUGAAUAAACAAACUAUGAUAAGUCCAUACAAUGAACUAUUACUCAGUGAUAGAAAGAAAUGAGUUAUGAAGCCAUUAAAAGACAUGUAGGAAGAUUAAAUACAUAUUACUAAGUGAAAUAAGUCAGUUUGAAAAGGGCACAGACUGUAUGAAUCCAACCGUAUGAAAUUCUGAGUCAGACCUAUAGAGACAGUAAAAAGAGCAGUAAUUGGCCAGGCUUCAGGGGAAGGGAGGGAUGAACAGGUGAAGCACAGGACAUUUUUAUGAUGGUGAAAUUAUAUCCUAUGAUACUAUAACAGUGGAUACAUAGCAUAAUACAUUUAUAUAAUGAAUUUGAGAAUUUCAGAGGCUUAUCAAGGAAAAAGAUAAGCCCACAGGUGGCAGUAGCACACAAAGCUUCUACUUGGACGCUACUUGGACAGGGUUGCAAAAAGAACAGUCCUCACAGCAUAAGGCCUUAUAGAAGCACAGGGGACCACCAUCCAGAACGCAGGAGGACAAAGGAGCUCCCAAGGAUGGGAAGGGAGAUGCUGCAUGUCUAGAUAACAUCACUUCACAGCAUGGUAGGAAGCUGCUGGGUCAGAGGGCUCUGAAGGGCAGCAGCCUGCAGUUUAUGUAACUACAAGAUUUUUCUUAUCUAUGGCCGGCAGAUGUUGGGUGCAGUUUCCCAAGGUGUACAAAGCAGGAAGACAUAAAAUGGCAAAAAAAAUCUGCCUGUUGGAGAUAUAUUUACAACAACUGGAUGCGAAAACAUUUCAGUUUGGCACUGUGGGCUUUUGAGCUAAUGAGUCUCAGCCUGAUUUAAGAAGUAAGCAACAAAGGGCCAAUAUGCAAAGGCCAUCUCUGGCUCAUUUAUAUAACAAUUUGUUAAAUCCUAGAGAAUGGUACAACACAGAGUGUCUAAUGUAAACUUGGACUUUUGUUAAUAAUAAUCUAUCAAUAUUGGUUCAUUAAUUUCAAUAAAUGUAUCACACAAAUGCAAGAGGUUAUCAAAAGGGGAAACUCUGUGGGAGGGGGGCAGGUAGGGAAGAGGGAGUGGGGCUAUGUGGGAACUUUAUAUACCUUCUGCACAAUUUUUCUGUGAACCUAAAACUUCUAUAGAAAAUAAAGUCUAUAAAAAUGUUAAAAGUCAAUGAGGAGAAAAAGGAGAGCGAAAUAAAUGGAAACUUGGGGGAAAUUUUGUAAUUCACAAAAUAAAAUCAAAAGUCAAAACCAAAUAAUUCUGCACAUCCAAAAUAUAACUAACAAGUCCAUUGAAUUAUAAACUGGUCAGAAACACAUGCAACAGUUAUAACAGAUCAAAAAGAGAUUUGUGCAAGUUUAAUGCAAAGGAAAUGUGGAGUAAGGCAUUAAGUAGGCAGUUUAGAGAAAAUGAAUACAAUUUUUUGAGAGGAAAGAAGGCCACCCUAACUCAAUAAACAAGUAAAAUAUUAUCACUGUGAGUUUCUAUUUUUCAUCUGUAAAUUUGGAAAAUACAAAAAACCCUGAAACCUGUAACACCCACCUGACAAACUCACAUAUGCUGUUGGUGGACAUGUACACUGGUAACUAUUUCAGAAUAUUUUUGAUAUCGUAAUAAAAACAGCACAUAGCCUUUGACAAAAUAGUUCUAUUCAUAGAAAUAUUUCCUACAUUCUUACUUACAGAUAUGCUCAAAACAUAUGUACAAGGGUGUUUGUGGCAGCUUUCGUUUUAUUAGCCAAAGACUGGACACUACCCAACUACACAUUGGUAAGAUUUGUACCAUGUAACAAGUAGCUUUUGCCAGAAAUUUUAAAUCUUGUAUGCCACUUAUUGGUUCAGGAUUUUAAUGUAUAUGUCUCUAAAUAAACUAUAUUUAUGUCUGCUUUGCAUUGAUCCCCUUCCACUGCAAAUUUUCAUCACCUAUCGAGGUCCCACCAGCCUAUUGUGUCUUUGCUUAUCUUACUGUACAGAUAACUCACAUGGAUUCCAAUAUGGACCACAAUUUGGACAGCUUCUUCAUUGUAUAAGAUAUAAGUAAAUCAUGUCACCUCAAUACAAAUAUUGAGUUCUUGAGGGCAAAUGUUAGGUCUUCUUCAUUUGUUGUUGUUUUUUUUUUUCUCCCUGGAACCUAAUACAUGAUAAAGACUUGCUGAUUAGAAGUAAUUUUUCCUAACCAUAAGACAGUUCUUAUAGUACAUAUCCUCAUUACAUAACUAUGUAUUAAACCUAAGGAAAAUGCUCAAGAGUUUGUCCCUUUUGUUUGGUCCUUGCUUUUUCUGGCACACUUCAUAUUGCCAAGGCCCGUAAGGGUAAGAGAGAGAGUCAUACCUGAACUUGAUAUUGUCAUCUGGAGGAGAUUCAUAACAACAAAGUAUCUGGAGAAAGAUAGCCCUGUAGUUUCCAUUAUACCUGUGAUAAGAAAUUAGGCAGGUUCAGUGAGAACAGGAUUAAUAUGUCACAGAAAUCACAUAUCUCCACAUCUUCCUGCAGUAAUUAACUCUCAAAUAGAGUUACCAGAUGAAACGUAGAACCCCCAGUUAGAUUUGAAUUUCAGAUCGGCAGUGCAAGUUUUUUGGUAUAAAUAUUUCUUGUGCAUCAUAUAAUUUUUAUUUUCUAAAUCUGGUAACUCUACUUUUAAGAUGUUCAAUAUAAUGACCAAGUCCAGCCAGAGGCUUCUUUCUCAUUAAAGGAUUUCUU
rnacentral:lncRNA from 1 species